UUAAGCAACACAGAUUAGUUCUCUGUAAUAAUCUUCGUAAUCCAUCAAACAGUAAUCAUGUCUACUGAGGAAGUCAAAGGAAAAGAGUCAUCUGUGGAAACAGGGGGAUACUCAUCAAGUUAUGCUACAAGCGUCGCAAGCAUAACAGCAAGUUUAGGUGUUAGUUGUAGUACAUACAAGCAAGCAGACAGUGGAUGAUUACUCUUACGGUUCUAAAACAACCAGAUACACUCAUUAUCCUGCCUACAAGUAUUUUCUGUCGGUUCUUUGGAUUGUUUUUGCCUACACUUUCUUCGCAGCAAUAAAUUCAGGAAUUUGUGGGAGGAGCGGAAACAAAUAUUUUCUUCUCAGUCUCUUAUUCUGCGAUGCCGUUAUGUUGACACUUUUGGCUUCGGCUACUGGAACAGCCGGUGCUGUCUUAUUUAUUGGAACUAAAGGAAAUUCCCAUGAUGGAUGGUCAAAAACAUGUAAUGUUUUCGAUAAGUUUUGUAGAUAUAUGUGGGCAUCAUUCGGACUCUCCAUAUUCGCAUGUUUUCUCCUUGUGUGGAUCAUAGUUCUCUCAGCUGGUGCUAUUAAGGCGUGAUCGGCUAAAACCAUGGCCGAACACUCAUCCAAAUUGGUUUUAAGAACUGGCUACACUACAAAUUGUGCUUAGGAUUUCUUUUAUUGGGAUUGAUUGAAGAUUUAUUGUCGUAAAGGUCGUCUGGUCGUAAGGGCCUAAAUGUGCGAAAUGGAUGUAAUUUGUAUUUUGUUGAUAUUGUGUUGUAUGAUUUGUUAAAUAAAUUAUCAAUUCGAAUGGAUGGAGCUUGUAUUAUUAAUGGGUACCUAGCUCAGCUGGUCAUUCCCGUUUUU